rnacentral:tRNA from 1 species
GCCCUCGUAGCUCAGUGGUAGAGCGCGUCACUAGUAUUGGUUACAGUACUGUCAGCUAUGACGAGGUCGCUAGUUCGAUUCUGGUCGAGGGCA